GACGAACGCUGGCGGCGUGCUUAACACAUGCAAGUCGAACGGAAAGGCCCUGCUUUUGUGGGGUGCUCGAGUGGCGAACGGGUGAGUAACACGUGAGUAACCUGCCCUUGACUUUGGGAUAACUUCAGGAAACGGGGGCUAAUACCGGAUAGGAGCUCCUGCUGCAUGGUGGGGGUUGGAAAGUUUCGGCGGUUGGGGAUGGACUCGCGGCUUAUCAGCUUGUUGGUGGGGUAGUGGCUUACCAAGGCUUUGACGGGUAGCCGGCCUGAGAGGGUGACCGGCCACAUUGGGCCUGAGAUACGGCCCAGACUCCUACGGGAGGCAGCAGUGGGGAAUAUUGCACAAUGGGCGGAAGCCUGAUGCAGCAACGCCGCGUGCGGGAUGACGGCCUUCGGGUUGUAAACCGCUUUCGCCUGUGACGAAGCGUGAGUGACGGUAAUGGGUAAAGAAGCACCGGCUAACUACGUG
rnacentral:rRNA from 1 species